AGUUCACUAGCAACUCCAGCAUCCCCUUAAAGUCCCUUAUCACACCACGUACCGAGAAUUGGGGUCGGACACGUUGAACAACGAAAUUUAACGCAGCACUAUUGAUAGAAGCUAAGGAGUUCCUUGAAAUUCGUCAAUGCUCCGUAAAAUGUGAGGAAAUACUUCAAAGAUCCUAUAUAGAAAAUUUUGAUAUAGGGAAUCCUCGAUUAGUUAGUUACAUAUUCAUUAUCGGAUGCAUGCGGUGACUCGCGCGAUGACCAAUCAACUUAGGGAGAAACAUCACGUAGAUUCAUCGUUACCGUAUCAUAAUCGGUAAUUGACGUAAUUUCCGUAAAUCACCGUUCCAGAAUGAGUCAACCGUCGACGUAGCGUCAGGACAAUUACGUAAGAAGUGGAAAAUGACCCAUGGCAAAUCUAUCCCUUAUUUAUUCCCAAAAUCCGACAUUGGGAGCCGAUGAGAGUGCGAUAACACACUUGCGUCGACGUGUCGCACGAUCGAAGAUCAAUUAAUGGAAAAAAAAUAUCUUUAAUAUCUAAAAUAUUUCUCUCUCUCUCUCUCACAUGCGAAAAACUUAGAAAUCCACGAUCAAGACGCGAUUAAUCUCCGCGAUCUCGCGCACCCGUGAGGAACGCUCACGGGAGAAAGCGUGACAGCGGCCACGUCCGCCAGUGGAGCAGCACGAGGAAACGAGUCGGUGGGAAUGCCUAGGGACCCGUGCGCAUACCGGACGUGCUGGCGUCGCCAGUACGCAUGGCAGAUGGAGGAGACAUGACGCCAUGUUCGCCAUGUUUUGAUGUCGUCAUCCCCCCCCUCCCUCCCGCGAAUGCUGUUUCGCCGUGCAGCACACACAAUAGCCCGUGUUUUUUAACGAGUGUUUCCCCGUGGACGCGCGUCGCGGGUUCCUGGUGGUUCCCUGGUGGCUCGACUCAUCGCGGGAUUUCCCAGCACCCUCCCCGUAGCCCGCCAGUCGCAUGCACAUCGCGCGAGGCUGGGUAAACCCUCGUCCUCGUAGAAGGUUCGCUGAACAUGGGCGCUCGGACGUUCUCAUGUCCGAGGAAGUAGCCGUGGUACGGGGAGGGGUUCACGUGCGACGUCUACAACGUGGUGACCGUAGUACCCUAGUGCGAAACGGCGAAUUCGACCGACUCGUCGUCGCCACGGCCACUUAAAGAGUUAGCACUGCCUCACCGUCGCUUGUCUCGUUCGACUGCAUCGCUCGGCGUCGAGUCAAGUGGUUACAUCACGCCACCCGGAGGGGGCGGAUCUAACGGAUCCCUCGGAUCCGAGCGACACAGAUAGAGCAUCCCCGCGUGCGUGCGUGCGUGCGUACGUGCGUACGUUGUGCGUGCGUGCGUGCGUGCGCGCGUACGUACGUCUUUCCCUUUCUUCGUUUCGAGUAUACGGCGAGGAACGGGAGAACGAGGAACACGUCGUUAAAAUGGAGCUGCGUUUGCACUCACCAGCGGGAGCGGAACCGAUAGUGUACCAGUGGCCUCUCACGUCCGGAUCCGGAUCUGCACCGAGUUGUGCUCAUGUUAAACGUCAUGUUUCGCAGGACCGUCACGAUGGAGCACUGGACGUUAUCGAGACAAUGCGAUGGGUCUGCGAAGAUCUGCCAGAUCUAAAAUUACCCUUGGAGAACAAUAUUCUUUGUAACUAUGAUCCGAGAGAUUACGAAAGUAUGAAAAGCCUGUGUGACAGAUUCAACAGAGCUAUCGAUAGCUUAGUGCAAUUGGAGAAAGGCACUAGUUUACCAUCGCAGAGAUUAAAUAAGAGACCUAGUAGAGGUUUACUUCGUCAUAUACUCCAACAAACUUAUAAUCAAGCAGUGGUCGAACCAGACAAGUUAAAUCAAUACGAGCCAUUUUCACCGGAGGUUUAUGGCGAAACGAGUUACGAGCUUGUAUGUCAGAUGAUCGACCAAAUCGAUGUGACGGAUGACGAUGUUUUUGUUGAUCUAGGCUCAGGAGUUGGUCAAGUGGUGCUUCAGAUGGCAGCUGCAACUUUAUGUAAGAUUUGCAUUGGCGUUGAGAGAGCUGAUGUGCCAUCAGCAUAUGCACAGAGUAUGGAAGUGAACUUUCGAAAGUGGCUGAACUGGUAUGGGAAACGAUGUGGGAACUACCGUCUGGUAAAGGGUGACUUCUUAGCAGACGAACAUCGCGAAAGUAUCACUGGAGCUACGAUAGUAUUCGUGAAUAAUUUUGCAUUUGGUCCGACAGUGGAUCAUCAAUUAAAGGAACGCUUCGCCGAUUUACGGGACGGCGCGCGUAUAGUAUCGUCGAAAUCAUUCUGCCCGUUGAACUUUCGAAUAACCGACAGGAACCUGAGUGAUAUCGGCACGAUAAUGCAUGUCUCAGAGAUGUCGCCGUUAAAAGGUUCUGUCUCUUGGACUGGUAAGCCGGUCUCGUAUUAUUUGCACGUAAUCGAUCGAACUAAAUUAGAACGUUAUUUCCACCGCUUAAAAAACAAUAAACAAGGUGGCUUAGAUGAAAACUCUGAUUCUGUGAUAAACAACACUGCCAGCAAUAGUAGUAAGGUUUCUAAUAGGAACGAAAGAGGUGACAGAGCCAAGAGAGACCUUUCGAGACAAUUAGAUAGCCCGAGUCAUUCGGAACAGCAAGGAACGAAUAGCGAGUCUGACCUGGACGACAGCGCUAUUAAGAAUCGCCGACAGACAAACAAGAUGCGAAGGAAAUUCACGAGAAAAGCCACGAACGGCAUCACGAGAGCGCCAGCUAGAGGUAGACAGAGGGGACGAGGCGUUAAAAGAGCCAGACCGAAAAAGGCGAUCAAUAUAUCGGGAUUGGAUCUGUUACACAGUCAGACUUUGCUCAGCACAUCACCUCAAGCUCUUGGGAAAAAGCCACCGCCUGCUCCUGGUUGUGUAGAUCAACAGCUGUCUUCAUUAUCGCUUUCUUUACAGUCUCAUUCCACCUCGGUACACGAGGAACUCAGUAUACCACCCGCUCCGUCCGCGACUCCUUACGCCCUACAGAUACUUCUGGACUUGUACAGGGACCAAUUCAUGCUUAUGCUAGAAUCGAUGAGAACGCCCACUUACAAGGUAUCCGUUAACACGGAUAUCGCGAAAGAAAGAGAAAGAAACUCCAGGCUGCAAUCAAGAGCGGCGCAGUUGGAGAAGCAAAUCAAAGUUCUGAUAGACGACAGCGUAGCUCUCUUAAAGGCGAGAAUGACUGAGUUAGGUAUCAAUGCCACGUCACCUGGGGAUCUGCUAGCGAAAGCCAAGGAGAUAGUUUUAAGACAUAAACAGCUACAAGCUAAAGCGAGUAAAUUACAAGCGCAAGUCGCGUCGAUGGAAUCGGAACAAAGCAGACUAGUGGCGCUUAGACAUCAAGAGUUGCAGGACAAAUAUAAUGGCCACGCGGGUGCGAAUGGCAUACCAAGCCCACCCCAAUCGCUCACUCAAGAUUAUAUAUUGAAAGAAAUUUCCGCUACCCUGUCUCAGCGUAAACGAUUACACUCUCAAUUAGCUGCACUCGUUUUGCAACAGGUUUCGAAACUCGAGCACGAACUUAACGUACUGGAAAGGACAAGCAAUGAGAAGCAAGCAAUUGCUAUCGCUCAGCAGCAGAGGGACGCGAUCGGAAGUAAACAUUCGCAGAAUCCGCAGAGUGGGAAAACGGCAACGACGCGAAAGAGCAGGGAAAGUCGCUCGAAGGAAUGGCCGGACGUUCCCGAUAUCGGAAAGAUACAGGAGAAUAAUCCAGAAAUAUUAGCGCAGAAGAUCCUGGAAACGGGACGGCAAAUUGAGGCGGGUCGCAAACAACCGACAAACAGGCAGAGUACGAGCGGCAACAGUAGUAGUUCCAGAACCAGAUUACCGCAGGCCUCCCUCAGUUUCUCCGGUACAUCAGCCUCGAUUUCGUCCACGCAGCCAAUACAAGCAGCCAAUAAAGAUGUACCGAGUAGAACCACCAGCAUGCAGGAACCACCCAGAGUCGCGAAUUUCGAGGAUCGCCUGAAGAGCAUUAUCACGAGCGUGCUGAACGAGGACCAACAAAAUAGAAAUAAGCAACAGCAGUUGCAGCAACCGCAGGUACAGUUGCAAACGCCAGUCACAGCUCCGUCAGCGGAGUCCGAGAGAAAACGCUCUUUGCAGAAUGUUCCCACUCCUGAUUACACUCAGGUCUCACCCGCGAAGCUAGCUCUCCGCCGUCAUCUCUCGCAGGAACGUAUCUCGUCGUCUCACCUGGACAGACCUGGACAGACCGAGUCUAGACAAUCGUCGAGUCACGACAAUCGUCUUGUGGCAGGCGGAAGCGGAUUACUCGGCACUAGGACCAUCGGCGAUCUCGUCAGUGGGGAAAUAGAGAGGACUCUGGAGAUAUCGAAUCAGUCUAUAAUAAACGUCGACAUGAGCGCGAUCAUGAGACCCGAGACUGUCUACUCUCCCAUCAGCAGGCCGGCCAGUGCCGAGGGAGACGCCGGUUUAUCAACGUUGGCGCAUGUAGCUAGUUACGUGCCCACCUCUUCGGGAGCUUCUACCUCCACACCCACGACCAACUCGAGAUCGUCCGUGCUCUUUACUCCAGUAACGCAAUCGCAAAGAUACACCCCGGUUCAGUUGCCGCGAGCAGACAUUAAACCUUAUCACGAGUCCUACUUCUCGGACAAUCCCUCUCAGUCGCUCGCGUCGCCCUAUCCGGCGACACCGUCUCUGCACUCGUCUCAAAACACGUCAAACGGGGAAUUGUUACCUGUAGAGGGGCUCGCGGCGUCGUUGCACGCUCGAAUAUUGAACAAUCAUAGUAAUAGCGGUAAAGCUGAAUCAGCACUCGCCAACAACAGAAGAUUUCAGCCGUAUCCGCGAUACACGACAAACAGCAAUAGUAAUAGCAAUGCGACGAGCAACGCCGUAACGGCGAUCUGUCAGUCGCAACCUUCGGUCUCAGUAAAAACGGAAGCGGUUGUAUCGUCGGUAAGCACGAGCGGAGCACCUCUGAGUCCCCUCGUGGAACCGCAUUCCAAUACGUCGACGCCGUUGGUCGAUGAACCCCAGAUGACGACGCAAAGGCAACGAAACGCUGUUGGAGAUGACGAUGCACUGUAGCUGUUUGUUGGUUAGUUCUGUCUGUCACAUACUCAAUCUCAGAACCCCUGAAGCUUGUUUUAUUAGAGAUUGAGUCACACACACAGAUCAGAGGGAGAAAUGAAAAAAUACUGUUCUGCCUGUGGGUUGGUUCGUCGGUACGGUCGCCGAUGGAGAAGCUGAUUGGCAAGAUCGCAUUAAUUCGGGAUUUGAUCGCUUGGUCGCGUUUGCUUCCACAGAAUUGGAUAAACGUAGACGAUCGACAGAAGGUGUAAACACGAGUCCCGAU
rnacentral:misc_RNA from 1 species